rnacentral:ncRNA from 2 species
CCCUUAUUCAGAGUGAUGGAGGUACAAAGGACCUGUGAAGUCACGGCAACCCCGGUUGAGUAUGUCAGAAUUGACGUGCAAAAGGGCCGGAAGGUGCCAGCCUGAGCGAGGAGUGUGCACUGUUUCAUGCAUGCUUGAUCGAGCAAUAAGAG